GACGAACGCUGGCGGCGUGCUUAACACAUGCAAGUCGAACGGAAAGGCCCUGCUUUUGUGGGGUGCUCGAGUGGCGAACGGGUGAGUAACACGUGAGUAACCUGCCCUUGACUUUGGGAUAACUUCAGGAAACUGGGGCUAAUACCGGAUAGGAGCUCCUGCUUCAUGGUGGGGGUUGGAAAUUUUCGGCGGUUGGGGAUGGACUCGCGGCUUAUCAGCUUGUUGGUGGGGUAGUGGCUUACCAAGGCUUUGACGGGUAGCCGGCCUGAGAGGGUGACCGGCCACAUUGGGACUGAGAUACGGCCCAGACUCCUACGGGAGGCAGCAGUGGGGAAUAUUGCACAAUGGGCGGAAGCCUGAUGCAGCAACGCCGCGUGCGGGAUGACGGCCUUCGGGUUGUAAACCGCUUUCGCCUGUGACGAAGCGUGAGUGACGGUAAUGGGUAAAGAAGCACCGGCUAACUACGUG
rnacentral:rRNA from 1 species